AACGAACGCUGGCGGCAUGCCUAACACAUGCAAGUCGAACGAGACCUUCGGGUCUAGAGGCGCACGGGUGCGUAACGCGUGGGAACCUGCCCUUAGGUUCGGAAUAACUCCCCGAAAGGGGUGCUAAUACCGGAUAAUGUCUUCGGACCAAAGAUUUAUCGCCUUUGGAUGGGCCCGCGUUGGAUUAGCUAGUUGGUAGGGUAAAAGCCUACCAAGGCGACGAUCCAUAGCUGGUCUGAGAGGAUGAUCAGCCACACUGGGACUGGGACACGGCCCAGACUCCUACGGGAGGCAGCAGUGGGGAAUAUUGGACAAUGGGCGAAAGCCUGAUCCAGCAAUGCCGCGUGAGUGAUGAAGGCCUUAGGGUUGUAAAGCUCUUUUACCCGGGAUGAUAAUGACAGUACCGGGAGAAUAAGCUCCGGCUAACUCCGUG
rnacentral:rRNA from 1 species